rnacentral:rRNA from 1 species
GACGUAGGGACCGAGCGUUGUCCGGAAUCAUUGGGCGUAAAGAGCGUGUAGGCGGCCACUUAAGUCCUGCGUGAAAUCUUGCGGCUCAACCGCAAGCGGUCGUGGGAAACUGGGUGGCUAGAGUGCGGGAGAGGAGAGUGGAAUUCCUGGUGUAGCGGUGGAAUGCGCAGAUAUCAGGAAGAACACCCGUGGCGAAGGCGGCUCUCUGGAACGCAACUGACGCUGAGACGCGAAAGCGUGGGGGAGCAAACAGG